rnacentral:lncRNA from 1 species
GGGCGAGCUGAGCAGAGCAGGCCAUGGCUGAUGGGCCGGCCCGAGCGGGAGAGAGGAGGAAGGAGAGAGGUUGGCCAAAGGGAGUGGGCCGAGGGGAGAUGGGGAGGACAAGGAAGAGAGGAAGAGAGGAAAUGGGCCGUCAGCCCAUUGGGUGGAAAAGAAAAAGAAAGAGAGAAAGGAUGGAAAAAGAGAGAAAGAGG